ACCGUCAGUUCGCCUUCGUCUCGCGCCGUGCCAGAAUCCCUUAGUGACCUGAGCGCCGCUGCCAGGAGAGAGGGGGGCGGGGAGGCGCAAGAACUGGAGCACAGGAGAAUCGCAAGGCUAUUCUCGCUCUCUCCUCACGUAAUUAGUUGACAUUAAGGAAUUUUAGAAGUGCGUUAGAGGAGAAAAUAUUUGGUUGAGCUGCUGGUUAUACUCGAGAAUCUAAUUAUAAACGUUGAGAGGCUGGAAAGGGUGCGCUUUAUUGCUUAUAUUUUCACUCACGUCCAGACUCACGGAGCAAAUAACAUGAAAUCAGGACCUCCUUGCCUCGCCGCAGCCUCCGUGACCGAAACGUAAAGGAAGAAGUGCCAAGAAAACUUUAAAACUUUGAAAUGCUGCGAGAGUGACACUUUCCUCGAACCGCACGGAACUUUGAAACUUUCGAACGUACCUUAAAAAAAAAGAGAGGGAGAGAAAGUUUGAGACGAGUGAACCUUAGAGCGAGUGAGUAAGUGAGUGGGUGAGACAAGAGCAAUCAAAGCGAGUGAAACAAAACAGCCUCGUGAAAAAGUCAAACCACAGACUCGACUUUCGGAGCGAGUGACGCCAAACACUGAGGCUUCAAAACACACCAACCCGCUUCGAAACCCGCCAAAUGAAACCGAAGUGUGUGUUUUCCCUUGCCUUCUUUAAUGUUCCAGCUGUGAGAGGGAUGUGAGUGCCAGACACGGAAAGAGGAAGAGGCGUGGGGAGGAUAAACGAGUCAAAA